CCUCGGGGUAUUUCAUGAAAAAACCGCUUUGCCUCCCCACUUCCCCCAUCUUCUCUACUCCAAGCUGCAAUUCUCAAUUGCGAAGCUGCAAAUUAUAGGAACUGCAAACUCCAAAAUUAUCUUCUCUUCAUUGCCGAAAAACUAACUUCCAAACCUUCACCGGCGCAAACGCGAACCACCGCCUCCAGUGCCUCCUCCGCCUCCAUCAAAACCCUUUUUCUUCUCUUGUGGCUUGCUAUGAGAGGACGCUCGUAGCAAUUUGUGAUUAAGCUAAGAGAGGAGUUGGAGGUUAGGGGAACUCAAAUAUGAACCAGUUGUGAAGUGCACCUUUAUCUGAACAAGUGAUAAUGGUUCUCUUGAUUCAAUGUGGGAAAUUAUAUGGGCGGUAUCCUAUAAUUUUUUCCAUGUGUAAAGCUUCAACUGUAUCUGAAUCAGGACCAUGAUAUCCAACAGAAUGAAGCUUUUGUACAAUUAGGAUAGUAAUACAGUGGAGUACCUAUUACUUAUUCUCAAGCGAAGAUUGCCGAGUUGAGGGACUUAUGCGUUACCUAUGUGUCCGAGCAUAAAGAACUAGACGAAGAGUUUGAAGAUGAUAUUGUGUAGGUGAUUUAUGACUUCAUUUUAAUUUUAGAAUUUUGUAUUUCUUUACGAAGAAGAUUAUAGGAUGAAACAUUAAGUACUUUUAGACGUUAACAUUUUUUGUAAUAUUUUUCUGGGUUUAAUGAAAGAUUUGGAUUAUUUUGGUAUUAUAA